CAACCCUCAAGCAAUGCUUGGUAUUGGAUGCCACCGGAUGCGGUGCAUCUCAAAAGCAUUGGCAGUGGCGUGCAGCUUCUAGUGUAGUAAUUUUCUCGCUUUGGAGUUUGGAUGUCUGCUGGCCAGAACCCUAAUCUAUCAAU
rnacentral:misc_RNA from 1 species